rnacentral:rRNA from 1 species
UACGUAGGGUGCGAGCGUUAAUCGGAAUUACUGGGCGUAAAGCGUGCGCAGGCGGCGCGUUAAGACAGGUGUGAAAGCCCCGAGCUUAACUUGGGAAUUGCGCUUGUGACUGGCGUGCUGGAGUGUGGCAGAGGGAGGUGGAAUUGGAGGUGUAGCGGUGGAAUGCGUAGAGAUCUCCAAGAACACCAGUUGCGAAGGCGGCCGACUGGACACAUAUUGACGCUGAGGCUCGAAAGCAUGGGGAGCAAACAGG